GAAGUCCACUGAACCUUAUCAUUUAGAGGAAGGAGAAGUCGUAACAAGGUUUCCGUAGGUGAACCUGCGGAAGGAUCAUUGUCGAUGCCUGCAAAGCAGAACGACCCGCGAACCGUUUUCCAACGACCGGGAUGCCGGGGGGCGUCCAGCCGCUCGGCAGCCCGAAGCUCCGGACGCUGAGCGUGCAACCCACCUCCAGCGGACGGAGCUCCAAAACAAACCCCGGCGCGCGAAGCGCCAAGGUACUCCAACGAAUGGGGCAUGCACCCGUUGUGCUGGGGUUCCAGUACGCUCGGGUCGCUGUUCCGCGUCGCAAAAAGUCUAAACGACUAAGUUGCGCCCGAAGCCUCGGCUAAGGGCACGUCUGCCUGGGUGUCACACAUCGCUCAGCCUCCAAAACCUUCCCCCUCGAAAGUCGGGGCGACGGUCCGGAUGCGGAAGCUGGCCUCCCGCGACCGCGCGCCCCGGAUGGCCCAAACACCUGCUGGGGGAAGCGAAGUGCCGCGGCAUUCGGUGGUCGAUCCAAAGCCCCACGACCAGUGCCGGGGGCGGCCGCAUCCGUCCCCAGCCCGCGACCCUAAACUCUAACCGACGCGACCUCAGGUCAGGCGGGGCUACCCGCUGAGUUUAAGCAUAUCAAUAAGCGGAGG
rnacentral:rRNA from 1 species